rnacentral:tRNA from 2 species
GCCUUGGUGGUGAAAUGGUGGUAGACACGCGAGACUCAAAAUCUCGUGCUAAACAGCGAGGAGGUUCGAGUCCUCUUCAAGGCA